UUUCAGCAUGUUUUGGUUAAGUCUUCAAUUUUGAAAAUGCAACAGAUAGUGUCAUACAUUUUCUCUUUGUCUCCCAAGAUUUCUCCCAGGAGACCUGAAGUACUUGUUGCAGGAUUUAUCGUGAGGGAGGAAAAUUUUAGUCCACUUCUCUUCUUUCGGAAACACAGAAUUCGUUACUAUGAUGACAGCUAAAUAGCCAGCGAAUCACGGAAGGAUUGGAAGAGCAUGGACAAUUUUUUUAAUAUCCUGUGGAUGAAAAUCUUAUAAGAGAUUAUGUAUGUAAGCGAGAAAGAAAGACAGAGAGUGUUGAGAUGAGAGAAAGACAGACAACAGUGAGAAUGAAAGCAAGAGACAGAAAAAAAAA